AUUGAACGCUGGCGGCAUGCCUUACACAUGCAAGUCGAACGGUAACAGGUCUUCGGAUGCUGACGAGUGGCGAACGGGUGAGUAAUACAUCGGAACGUGCCUAGUAGUGGGGGAUAAUUACUCGAAAAGUUGGCUAUACCGGCUGGGAAUCACGGGAUGAAAGAAGGGGACGCAAAAACCUUUUCUAACUAAGCCGGCGAAUGGCGGAUAGGGUAGUUGGGGGGAUAAAAGCUUACCAAGCCGACGAUCUGUAGCUGGUCUGAGAGGACGAUCCGCCACACUGGGACUGAGACACGGCCCAGACUCCUACGGGAGGCAGCAGUGGGGAAUUUUGGACAAUGGGCGCAAGCCUGAUCCAGCAAUGCCGCGUGCAGGAUGAAGGCCUUCGGGUUGUAAACUGCUUUUGUACGGAACGAAAAGCCCUGGGUUAAUACCCUGGGGUCAUGACGGUACCGUAAGAAUAAGCACCGGCUAACUACGUGCCAGCCGCCGCAGUAACAC
rnacentral:rRNA from 1 species